rnacentral:tRNA from 1 species
GCGCCUAUAGCUCAGCCCGGAUAGAGCGUCUGACUACGGAUCAGAAGGUCGUGGGUUCAAAUCCUGCUGGGCGCGCCA